AGUGAACGCCGGCGGUAGGCCUAACACAUGCAAGUCGAACGGCAGCACAGUAAGAGCUUGCUCUUACGGGUGGCGAGUGGCGGACGGGUGAGGAAUACAUCGGAAUCUACUUUUUCGUGGGGGAUAACGUAGGGAAACUUACGCUAAUACCGCAUACGACCUACGGGUGAAAGCAGGGGAUCUUCGGACCUUGCGCGAUUGAAUGAGCCGAUGUCGGAUUAGCUAGUUGGCGGGGUAAAGGCCCACCAAGGCGACGAUCCGUAGCUGGUCUGAGAGGAUGAUCAGCCACACUGGAACUGAGACACGGUCCAGACUCCUACGGGAGGCAGCAGUGGGGAAUAUUGGACAAUGGGCGCAAGCCUGAUCCAGCCAUACCGCGUGGGUGAAGAAGGCCUUCGGGUUGUAAAGCCCUUUUGUUGGGAAAGAAAAGCAGCAGGUUAAUACCCCGCUGUUCUGACGGUUCCCAAAGAAUAAGCACCGGCUAACUUCGUG
rnacentral:rRNA from 1 species